rnacentral:misc_RNA from 1 species
GAUGAAGAACGCAGCGAAAUGCGAUAAGUAGUGUGAAUUGCAGAAUUCAGUGAAUCAUCGAAUCUUUGAACGCACAUUGCGCCCUUUGGUAUUCCUUAGGGCAUGUCUGUUCGAGCGUCAUUUAAACCUUCAAGCUAAGCUUGGUGUUGGGUGACUGUCCGCUUCACUGCGGACUCGCCUCAAAAUUAUUGGCGGCCGGUACAUUGGCUUCGAGCGCAGCAGAAACGCGAACUCGGGCCCGUCGUAUUGGCUCCCAGAAGCUAUCUUCACAAUUUUGACCUCGGAUCAGGUAGGGAUACCCGCUGAACUUAAGCAUAUCAAUAAGCGGAGGA